rnacentral:lncRNA from 1 species
ACUUAAAAUCACAGAAAUUAAAUAUGAUUCAAAAGAAGAUAUCCAUUAAAAACAAUAAGUUCAUACAACCCCAAGAAUAUAAAAUAAAAUAUAAAACCCGUGUCCCUUUGUUAGGGUUGCAUCCAGGCCUAGUGAGGAAUUUAAGCUUCCAUGUAGUGGAGGACGGCAGCAGCAGUACAGCAGCGGGCUCCCAUCUUCAUAUGAAAAUCUUCUGCUUUCGUCCCACUCCCUCUAUUUCCAAAAUAUCACAAAGUAUUCUCUCCUUCUCCUUUUUUUAUUCUUUUGUGGGAACUCCCUAAGAAGAGCCAAGCUCUUCUUCUCCCGGUGGGGAACUUGGCCUCUGAGGAGAGAUGAUGGGAGCAGCCCCCGGUGGGGGAAGAGGGAAUGCCCCCCGGUGGGGAAGGAGGA